rnacentral:sRNA from 1 species
GCCUAGCCCUGAUAGAGCCGGUAUCCUUUUUCUUGCUUCUUUAGCAGGAAAAAGAUUUAGGCGAAAGCAGGAAACAGC